GUUUUGUUCAUCCUCUAUGUUCCCUUUUCUCAAGUAUAGACAACCAGCAUGAAAAUACUUUGGCAUUUAUAAUCUCAUUGGCUAUUCAUUUGCUCAAUUUACAGAACAAUACUUAGAAAUGAUUAAUUGUUGUGCUUCUACAAAAAGGCUGUUAACCAUUAUGGUCCCUUCUAUGCAAUUAUGAUGUACAGCCUUGAAUCCUUAACGUUUU
rnacentral:misc_RNA from 1 species